rnacentral:rRNA from 1 species
GUCUCAGGCCGUAUCAGCCUGAAGGCGCCCGAUCUCGUCUGAUCUCGGAAACUAAGCAGGGUCGGGCCUGGUUAGUAUCUUGGAUGGGAGACCACCUGGGAAUCCCGGGUGCUCGAGGUC